rnacentral:lncRNA from 1 species
UGGCUUUUUUUGUUUGUUUGGUUGGUCUUUUUUUCCUCAGAUAUGUUGGAGCCAGAAUUUUUAAAAUCCUCUUACCUCCAUGUUGGAUCUUGGUCUCCCACAAGGGUGGUGCCAUCUUUUGUUGUAGUGCCCGAGGAGCCUGAGAGCAACAGGAAUGCUGUGGCAGCCCUCGUAACCUGA